CCUAUUCCAGAGGCUAGUUUUUAUUUUUUUUUUUUUUUCAAGCAGAAGACGGCAUACGAGAUCAGCCUCGGUCUCGUGGGCUCGGAGAUGUGUAUAAGAGACAGAUCUUAUACUUGGGAGUCAGACUGUGGGUGAUAAGAUUCAUAGUCGAAAGGGCAACAGCCCAGAUCGUCAGCUAAGGUCCCUAAAUGUAAGUUAAGUGGUAAAGGAUGUGGGAUUGCACAGACAACCAGGAUGUUGGCUUAGAAGCAGCCACUCAUUCAAAGAGUGCGUAAUAGCUCACUGGUCGAGUGAUCCUGCGCCGAAGAUUUCCGGGGCUAAAACUUACUACCGAAGCUACGGCAUCAGUAAUGAUGGGUAGGGGAGCUUCCCAUACGGGUUGAAGCAUGACCGUAAGGACAUGUGGACAGUAUGGGAGUGAGAAUGUUGGCAUGAGUAGCGAGAUGUGGGUGAGAAUCCCACAGGCCGUAAACCCAAGGUUUCCAGGGGAAGGUUCGUCCGCCCUGGGUUAGUCGGGACCUAAGCUGAGGCCGAAAGGCGUAGGUGAUGGACAACAGGUUGAUAUUCCUGUACUACCGAUAACCGUUUGAGAGAAGGGAUGACACAGUAGGAUAAGCUAAGCACACUGUUGGUUAUGUGUGCCCAAGCAUUGAGGCAGUCAAAGUAGGCAAAUCCGCUUUGAUAAUGCUGGGAUGUGAUGGGGAGCGAAAUUUAGUAGCGAAGUAGCUGAUUUCACACUGUCAAGAAAAGUCUCUAUCGAGGUUAAAGGUACCCGUACCGCAAACCGACACAGGUGGGUGAGGAGAGUAUCCUAAGGCCAGCGAGAGAACUGUUGUUAAGGAACUCGGCAAAAUGACCCCGUAACUUAGGGAUAAGGGGUGCCACCAUCAGGUGGCCGCAGAGAAUAGGCCCAAGCGACUGUUUACCAAAAACAUAGGUUUCUGCUAAGUCGCAAGACGAUGUAUAGGAGCUGACGCCUGCCCGGUGCUGGAAGGUUAAGGGGAUCUGUUAGAGCAAUCGAAGCAGUGAACUUAAGCCCCAGUAAACGGCGGCCGUAACUAUAACGGUCCUAAGGUAGCGAAAUUCCUUGUCGGGUAAGUUCCGACCCGCACGAAAGGCGUAACGAUUUGGGCACUGUCUCAACAACAGACUCGGUGAAAUUGUAAUUCCGGUGAAGAUGCCGGAUACCUGCGACAGGACGGAAAGACCCCAUGGAGCUUUACUGUAGCUUGACAUUGGGUCUUGGUACUACAUGUACAGGAUAGGUGGGAGGCUUUGAAACCAGGACGCCAGUUUUGGCGGAGCCAUCCUUGGGAUACCACCCUUGUAGUACUGGGACUCUAACCAUAGGCCAUGAAUCUGGUCUUGGGACACUGUCAGGUGGGCAGUUUGACUGGGGCGGUCGCCUCCCAAAAGGUAACGGAGGCGCUCAAAGGUUCUCUCAGUACGGUCGGAAAUCGUACGUAGAGUGUAAAGGCAAAAGAGAGCUUGAUUGCAAGACAUACAGGUCGAGCAAGGAUGAAAAUCGGACUUAGUGAUCCGGUGGUUCUGCGUGGAAGGGCCAUCGCUCAACGGAUAAAAGCUACCCUGGGGAUAACAGGCUUAUCUCCCCCAAGAGUCCACAUCGACGGGGAGGUUUGGCACCUCGAUGUCGGCUCAUCACAUCCUGGGGCUGUAGUAGGUCCCAAGGGUUGGGCUGUUCGCCCAUUAAAGUGGUACGCGAGCUGGGUUCAGAACGUCGUGAGACAGUUCGGUCCCUAUCCGUCGCAGGCGUAGGAAAUUUGAGAAGACCUGUCCUUAGUACGAGAGGACCGGGAUGGACGUACCUCUGGUGUACCAGUUG
rnacentral:rRNA from 1 species